CUCCGGGUCCUGAUGGACUUCAUCCUAUGAUCUUAAAAGAGGUGGCUAAUGAGGUGAUAGUAACCCUAACACAACAAUCAGUACAGAUUCAUUACCCAGCACACAUUCAAUUUUGUCGAAGGGUCAUGAGGACUCGAAACGUCAACUCUUUUCUUCUCCGCCGAUGCUGCCAGACCUGCUGAGUUUUUCCAGAGCGAAAGGAAG